rnacentral:rRNA from 1 species
AUUGAACGCUGGCGGCAGGCUUAACACAUGCAAGUCGAGCGGGGUGAUGGUGCUUGCACUAUCACUUAGCGGCGGACGGGUGAGUAAUGCUUAGGAAUCUGCCUAUUAGUGGGGACAACAUCUCGAAAGGGAUGCUAAUACCGCAUACGUCCUACGGGAGAAAGCAGGGGAUCACUUGUGACCUUGCGCUAAUAGAUGAGCCUAAGUCGGAUUAGCUAGUUGGUGGGGUAAAGGCCUACCAAGGCGACGAUCUGUAGCGGGUCUGAGAGGAGGAUCCGCCACACUGGGACUGAGACACGGCCCAGACUCCUACGGGAGGCAGCAGUGGGGAAUAUUGGACAAUGGGGGGAACCCUGAUCCAGCCAUGCCGCGUGUGUGAAGAAGGCCUUAUGGUUGUAAAGCACUUUAAGCGAGGAGGAGGCUCUUUUGGUUAAUACCCAAAAUGAGUGGACGUUACUCGCAGAAUAAGCACCGGCUAACUCUGUGCCAGCCGCCGCCGUAA